AUCACAGCUGCAGGGUUAGAGUAGGUCUGAGCUGUGGAGAAGUAGGAGCAGCUCUGUGUGACACUCAGCUUUUAUUGAGCUGAGCAAACCUUCAGGGUGUCCCUGCACUACUCUAAGCACUUAUCUAUAAAGAACCUGGAAAGGAUAAUGAGUGAAAAGUGGGAAUCCACACAUUAGGUCUUCAGUAAAAUAAUUUUCAUGAUGGCUUAGAAUGACUGUUUUGAAAGAGACAGCUAAAAGUGAAACAUGGAGGAUGCAUAAAAAAACAUAAGGUUUUAAGCUAUCUUGCACAACUGCAAAACAAUUGCAUUGUCUUCAGCAACGUUUUGAAGGUGCUAGAACUGCUUUGUAUUGGGCUAAAAGGGGAAUAUGUCUAGCUGCAGUACCGUGCAAACUGAACCACCAAAACCAACCUGAAGGCAAUCAAAAGAGAAAAGCAAAUGAAAAACCACAAUACAUGCCACAUAAUCCAAUUCAGAGGAGUAAAAUUUUGCAAAAUUUCACAUCACAAGGUCUUCCCUUUUCAAGAUCUGCUGACAAAUGAAAACAAACUCAUGUUCUUCAUGUUCCACAUUAAAUGGAUGGAAAACUGAUGGAAUUUGUACAGAAGCACAUUUCCAGGAGAUGGCUUAUAAUGAGGAGUGUUAUCCCCCACUGUGGAGCAAGGGACAGUGAGUCAGAGCUGACCAAGCCUCUGACUCUGUCUCAUUAGUCAUGAAUUCUGUCCCUGGUUUUCUCAGUUGUUUCUGGUAUUCCAGUAGAUCUUCCGCAAUAAGGCCAAUAAUCUAUAUAAUAAUACCUUUAAGCUUGUUUCCAUCAACAGAGUAAAUACAGAAACUAUUAGUAUUAUUAAAUGUUGUUAAUUACUGUCUGUAAAAAUGCUGCAACAUUUUCUGAUGAAUAUACAUCUCAGUUGCAAAACAGCUUUGGUUCUAUUGACCUUUUGCCCUCAUUUAUUCACUUCCCAGAAAUAAUUUAGAAAAGGAGUUCACUGGCAUAUGUAUUCAUAGAAACAAAAUAUUUCCAUAGGGUGUUUAAAAUCUUUAGAAAAGAAAAAUCUAAUUGGAAGUAAUCUCAAAUGGAACCUGUUCCAAAUUGUAUUUGGCUGAAAAGGGAACAGGAAUGGAGAGCAAGGAAGACUAUCAAAACAAUUUCCAGGAUGUCAGUAGUAACUAUGAUUUUGUGUAAGGCCAUGCACCACAGCAAAAUUCACUAUCUCAUCCCCAAAAAUGAUUUCACAAAAUAUGUUUUAGGACUAAUUUAUCCAUUCUCACAUGUGUCUUAAGCAAUGAAGCAAAAAAAAAAUUAGAUUAACAAAUUUCCAGCUUCUUCAUUAAGAUAUUUAAAAUCAGUGAGUGUGGAACAUCUGGAAACAAUAAAAAAUACUUUAGGCCACAGUGAAAAAAGAUACUUGUUUACUGCACAGAGAUUUAUAUAUGCAAAUUUAGUCAGUUUGCCUUUUGAAAAUUUACUAUGGAUUGAGCUGAUAAACUUUCUUGUAAUCAAUGGCUAAGAAAGCUAUAUAUUAAAAUUAUCUUGUUUAAAUUGUAGACAAGCAUUGGAUGAAUAAUAGGUUCAUAAAUAAUAAUCAUAUUUUGUAUGUAGAAUGUUUUUCUAAAUAAUUAAAAUACUGAUAAUAAAUUUUCUACCCAGAC